rnacentral:rRNA from 1 species
UUGGCUAGAUGGUGGGGUAAUGGCCUACCAUGGCGACGAUCGAUAACUGGUCUGAGAGGAUGACCAGUCACACUGGGACUGAGACACGGCCCAGACUCCUACGGGAGGCAGCAGUGGGGAAUUUUCCGCAAUGGGCGAAAGCCUGACGGAGCAAUACCGCGUGAGGGACGAAGGCCUGUGGGUUGUAAACCUCUUUUGUUAGGGAAGAUAAUGACGAGUACCUAACGAAUAAGCAUCGGCUACCUCCGUGCCAGCAGCCGCGGUAAGACGGAGGAUGCAAGCGUUAUCCGGAAUUAUUGGGCGUAAGCGGUACGUAGCUUGUUUCAUAAGUCUGUUGUCAAAGCGCGAGGCUCAACCUGUGUAAAGGCAAUGGAAACUCGCAGAGACUAGAGAGAGAUAGGGGCAGGAGAGAAUUCCAGUGUGUAGCGUGUGAAAUGCGUAGAUAUCUGGAAGAGACACCAGUGGCGAAAGCGUCCUGCGUGGAUCUCAACUGACGCUGAAGUACGAAAGCUAGGGGAGCGACAUGGGAUUAGAUACCCCAGUAGUCUCUAGCCGGCUUAACACGAUGGGUCCUCCUUGUUGGUCGUAUCGACCCGAUCAGUGCGCGUAGCUAACGCGUUAAGAUACCCCGCAUGGGAGAGKACGGUCGCAAGAUUGAAACUCAAAGGAAUUGACGGGGGCCCGCACAAGCGGUGGAGUAUGUGGUUUAAUUCGAUGCAACGCGAAGA